UACGGGGGGGCAAGCGUUGUUCGGAAUUACUGGGCGUAAAGGGCUCGUAGGCGGCCAACUAAGUCGGACGUGAAAUCCCCAGGCUCAACCUGGGAACUGCGUCUGAUACUGGAUGGCUUGAAUCCGGGAGAGGGAUGUGGAAUUCCAGGUGUAGCGGUGAAAUGCGUAGAUAUCUGGAGGAACACCGGUGGCGAAGGCGACAUCCUGGACCGGUAUUGACGCUGAGGCGGCGAAAGCUGAGGGGAGCGAACGGGG
rnacentral:rRNA from 1 species